GAAAAAUCUUCUUAUUAAAACAGUGAUCACUGCAGCAAAUGCAAGCUGCGGUUGCAUUUGCUGCAGGUCAUCCAAAACUUCAGAUGUACAUGAGCCUAGAGCAGUGCCCAGAUCAGCCAAAAAAACCAUUUCCCUGAAGGAUCCUCACCCUUGUAUUUCUUCUUCAAGCUCUUGUGAUAAAAGAGGAAGCUUCUCAGGGGACAAAGAAGAAAGCUGCACUUCCACAAUAACAAACUCUGUAUCUGAUCAUGAAAACGAUCCAAAAAGUUCCAAAAUCGUCAACAGCGUUGCUGUGGUUAAGGACUCUAAUGAUCCAUAUCAAGAUUUCAGGCAUUCCAUGUUGCAAAUGAUCUUUGAGAAAGAAAUCUACUCCAAAGAUGAUCUUCAGGAGCUUCUAAAUUGCUUCUUAGAGCUCAAUUCUCCUUAUCACCAUGGCUUGAUCAUCGAAGCAUUCACUGAGAUCUGGAAUGAGGUCAUCUCCAAGAAGCUCAAGUCACAGAAUUAAUUAAGCCACGUGACUCCUAGCUGUGCAUGAACAUUCGCACGUGCGGCUGGUACCCGUGUCAUUAACUAGUAGGAAACUUCUUGGGUGUUGGUCAAGACGCAAAGCUAAAGCAAUGGGUUUUAGGGAGAAUAAAAUAAUUAAUUAAAUUUGAGUUUUUUUUUCUUUUUUUUAUUAUUCUUGAUAAAAUAAUGGUAAGAG
rnacentral:misc_RNA from 1 species